rnacentral:lncRNA from 1 species
UUAUCGAAGAAAGCGUAAAACCUAAUUAUAUUUUUCUAUUAUGACCAGAGAGUGUAAAUUUGGAACGAAUCGAUGUCAACGCUCACAAGAACAAAAAUCGGAACAACAUUAGACUACUCAGUUGCUCCAUAACAGUAUAACUUUGCAACGAGUACUUUUUCUCAUUUUAUCGAAGAAAACGCAAAAUCUAAUUAUAUUGUUCUAUUAUGCCCAGAGAGUGUAAAUUUGGAACGAAUCGAUGUCAACGCUCACAUGAACAAAAAUCGGGACAACAUUAGACUACUGAGUUGCGCCCUAACAGUAUAAAUUUGCAACGAGACCUUUUUCUCAUUUUAUCGAAGAAAGCAUCAAACCUAAUUAUAUUGUUCUAUUAUGCCCAGACAGUGUAAUUUUGGAACGAAUCGAUGUCAACGCUCACAAGAAUAAAAACCGGAACAACAUUAGACUACUCAGUCGCGCCCUAACAGUAUAACUUUGCAACGAGUACUUUUUCUCAUUUUAUCGAACAAAGCGUCAAACCUAAUUAUAUUGAUUUAUUAUGCCCAGAGAGUGUAAAUUUAGAACGAAUCGAUGUCAACGCUCACAAGAACAAAAACCGGAACAACAAUAGACUACUUAGUUGCGCCAUAACAGUAUAACUUUGCAACGAAUGCUUUUUCUCAUUUUAUCGAAAAAGCGCAAAUUUAAUUAUAUUGUUCUAUAAUGCCCAGAGAGUGUAAAAUUUGGAACGAAUCGAUGUCAACGCUCACAAGAACAAAAACCGGAACAACAUGAGACUACUCAGUUACGCCCUAACAGUAUAAAUUUGCAACGAGCACUUUUUCUCAUUUUAUCGAAGAAAGCAUUAAACCUAAUUAUAUUGUAAUAUUAUGCCCAGAGGGUGUAAAUUUGGAACGAAUCGAUGUCAACGCUCACAAGAACAAAAACCGGAACAACAUUAGACUACUCAGUUGCGCCAUAACAGUAUAAUUUUGCAACGAGUGCUUUUCUCAUUUCAUCGAAGAAAGCGCAAAUCUAAUUAUAUUGUUCUAUUAUGCCCAGAGAGUGUAAAUUUGGAACGAAAUCGAUGUCAACGCUCACAAGAACAAAAACAGGAACAACAUUAGACUACUCAGUUGCGCCCUUACAGUAUAACUUUGCAACGAGUACUUUUUCUCAUUUUAUCGAAGAAAGCGUAAAACCUAAUUGUAUUCUUCUAUUAUGCCCAGAGAGUGUAAAUUUGGAACGAAUCGAUGUCAACGUUCACAAGAACAAAAACCGGAACAACAUUAGACUACUCAGUUGCGCCCUAACAGUAUAACUUUGCGACGAGUACUUUUUCUCAUUCUAUCGAACAAAGAGUAAAACAUAAUUAUAUUGUUCUAUUAUGCCCAGAGAGUGUAAAUUUGGAACGAAUCGAUGUCAACGCUCGCAAGAACAAAAACCGAAACAACUUUAGACUACUCAGUUGCGCAAUAACAGUAUAACAUUGCAACGAGUGAUUUUUCUCAUUUUAUCGAAGAAAGCGUAAAACCUAAUUAUAUUUUUCUAUUAUGACCAGAGAGUGUAAAUUUGGAACGAAUCGAUGUCAACGCUCACAAGAACAAAAAUCGGAACAACAUUAGACUACUCAGUUGCGCCCUAACAGUAUAACUUUGCAACGAGUACUUAUUCUCAUUUUAUCGAACAAAGCGUCAAACCUAAUUAUAUUGAUUUAUUAUGCCCAGAGAGUGUAAAUUUGGAACGAAUCAAUGUCAGCGCUCACAGGAACAAAAACCGGAACAACAAUAGACUGCUUAGUUGCGCCAUAACAGUAUAACUUUGCAACGAGUGCUUUUUCUCAUUUUAUCGAAAAAGCGCAAAUUUAAUUAUAUUGUUCUAUUCUGCCCAGAGAGUGUAAAUUUGGAACGAAUCGAUGUCAACGCUCACAAGAAAAAAAACCAGAACAACAUUAGACUACUCAGUUGCGACAUAACAGUAUAACUUUGCAACGAGUACUUUUUCUCAUUUUAUCGAAGAAAACGCAAAAUCUAAUUAUAUUGUUCUAUUAUGCCCAGAGAGUGUAAAUUUGGAACGAAUCGAUGUCAACGCUCACAUGAACAAAAAUCGGGACAACAUUAGACUACUGAGUUGCGCCCUAACAGUAUAAAUUUGCAACGAGACCUUUUUCUCAUUUUAUCGAAGAAAGCAUCAAACCUAAUUAUAUUGUUCUAUUAUGCCCAGACAGUGUAAUUUUGGAACGAAUCGAUGUCAACGCUCACAAGAAUAAAAACCGGAACAACAUUAGACUACUCAGUCGCGCCCUAACAGUAUAACUUUGCAACGAGUACUUUUUCUCAUUUUAUCGAAGAAAGCGUCAAACCUAAUUAUAUUGUUCUAUAAUGCCCAGAGAGUGUAAAUUUGGAACGAAUCGAUAUCAACACUCACAAAAAUAAAAACCGGAACAACAUUUGAGUACUCAGUUGUGCCUCUAACAGGUAUAACUUUUUGCAACCAGUACUUUAUUCUCAUUUUUUUGAAGUAAGCGGCCAAAACUAAUUUAUAUUGUAUUCUAUUUAGCCCCAGAGAGCUUGUAAAUUUCUGGAACGAAUUGAUGUCAACGCUCCACAAGAACAAAAACUGGAACAAAAUUAGGCUACUUAGUUGCGCCCUAACAGUAUAACUUUGCAACGAGUGCUUUUUCACAUUUUAUCGAAGAAAGCGUCAAACCUAAUUAUAUUGCUCUAUAAUGCCCAGAGAGUGUAAAUUUGGAACGAAUCGAUAUCAACACUCACAAAAAUAAAAACCGGAACAACAUUUGAGCACUCAGUUGUGUGCCCUUAACAGGUAUAACUUUUGCAACCAGUACUUUUUCUUCAUUUUAUCGAAAGUAAUGCGUCAAAACUAAUUUAUAUUAUGUCUCUUUUACGCCCAGAAGAGAGUAAAUCUGGAACGGAAUCGAUGUCAACGCUCACAAGAACAAAAACUGGAACAAAAUUAGGCUACUUAGUUGCGCCCUAACAGUAUAACUUUGCAACGAGUGCUUUUUCACAUUUUAUCGAAGAAAGCGUCAAACCUAAUUAUAUUGCUCUAUAAUGCCCAGAGAGUGUAAAUUUGGAACGAAUCGAUAUCAACACUCACAAAAAUAAAAACCGGAACAACAUUUGAGUACUCAGUUGCGCCUUAACAGUAUAACUUUGCAACCAGUACUUUUUCUCAUUUUAUCGAAGUAAGCGUCAAACCUAAUUAUAUUAUUCUAUUAUGCCCAGAGAGUGUAAAUUUGGAACGAUUCGAUGUCAACGCUCACAAGAACAAAAACCGGAACAACAUUAGACUCUUCAGUUGCACCCUAACAGUAUAACUUUGCAACGCGUACUUUUUCUCGUUUUAUCGAAGAAAGCGUAAAAUCUAAUUAUAUUGUUGUAUUAUGCCCAGAUAGUGUAAAUUUGGAACGAAUCGAUGUCAACGCUCACAAGAACAAAAACCGGAACAACAUUAGAGCACUCAGUUCCGCCAUAACAGUAUAACUUUGCAACGAGUGCUUUUUUUCAUUUUAUCGAAGAAAGCGUAAAACCUAGUUAUAUUAUUCUAUUAUGCCCAGAGAGUGUAAAUUUGGAACGAAUCGAUUUCAACGCUCACAAGAACAAAAACCGGAACAACAUUAGACUACUCAGUUGCGCCCUAACAGUAUAACUUUGCAACGAGUACUUUUUCUCAUUUAUCGAAGAAAGCGUCAAACCUAAUUAUAUUGUUCUAUCUUGCCCAGAGAGUGUAAAUUUGGAACGAAUCGAUGUCAAAGCUCACAAGAACAAAAAUCGGAUCAAUAUUAGACUACUCAGUUGCGCCCUAACAGUAUAACUUUGCAACGAGUGCUUUUUCUCAUUUUAUCGAAGAAAGCGUAAAUCUAAUUAUAUUGUUCUAUUAUACCUAGAGAGUGUAAAAUUGGAACGAACUGAUGUGAGCGCUCACAAGAACAAAAACCGGAUCAAUAUUAGACUACUCAGUUCCGCCCUAACAGUAUAACUUUGCAACGAGUACUUUUUCUCAUUUAUCGAAGAAAGCGUCAAACCUAAUUAUAUUGUUCUAUUAUGCCCAGAGAGUGUAAAUUUGGAACGAAUCGAUUUUAAAGCUCACAAGAACAAAAACCGGAACAAUAUUAGACAACUCAGUUGCGCCCGAACAGUAUAACUUUGCAACGAGUGCUUUUUCUCAUUUUAUCGAAGAAAGCGUCAAACCUCAUUAUAUUGUUCUAUUAUGCCGAGAGAGUGUAAAUUUGGAACGAAUCGAUGUCAACGCUCACAAGAACAAAAACCGGAACAACAUUAGACUCUUCAGUUGCACCCUAACAGUAUAACUUUGCAACGCGUACUUUUUCUCGUUUUAUCGAAGAAAGCGUAAAAUCUAAUUAUAUUGUUGUAUUAUGCCCAGAUAGUGUAAAUUUGGAACGAAUCGAUGUCAACGCUCACAAGAACAAAAACCGGAACAACAUUAGAGCACUCAGUUCCGCCAUAACAGUAUAACUUUGCAACGAGUGCUUUUUUUCAUUUUAUCGAAGAAAGCGUAAAACCUAGUUAUAUUAUUCUAUUAUGCCCAGAGAGUGUAAAUUUGGAACGAAUCGAUUUCAACGCUCACAAGAACAAAAACCGGAACAACAUUAGACUACUCAGUUGCGCCCUAACAGUAUAACUUUGCAACGAGUACUUUUUCUCAUUUUAUCGAAGAAAGCGUAAAAUCUAAUUAUAUUGUUCUAUUAUUCCCAGAUAGUGUAAAUUUGGAACGAAUUGAUGUCAACGCUCACAAGAACAAAAACCGGAACAACUUUAGACUACUCAGUUGCGCCUAACAGUAUAACUUUGCAACGAGUACUUUUUCUCAUUUUAUCGAAGAAAGCGUCAAAACUAAUUAUAUUGUUCUAUUACGCCCAGAGAGUGUAAAUUUGGAACGAAUUGAUGUCAACGCUCACAAGAACAAAAACUGGAACAAAAUUAGGCUACUUAGUUGCGCCCUAACAGUAUAACUUUGCAACGAGUGCUUUUUCACAUUUUAUCGAAGAAAGCGUCAAACCUAAUUAUAUUGCUCUAUAAUGCCCAGAGAGUGUAAAUUUGGAACGAAUCGAUAUCAACACUCACAAAAAUAAAAACCGGAACAACAUUUGAGUACUCAGUUGCGCCUUAACAGUAUAACUUUGCAACCAGUACUUUUUCUCAUUUUAUCGAAGUAAGCGUCAAACCUAAUUAUAUUAUUCUAUUAUGCCCAGAGAGUGUAAAUC